UAGGGAAUCUUCCACAAUGGGCGAAAGCCUGAUGGAGCAACGCCGCGUGUGUGACGAAGGGUUUCGGCUCGUAAAACACUGUUGUAAGAGAAGAAUGACAUUGAGAGUAACUGUUCAAUGUGUGACGGUAUCUUACCAGAAAGGAACGGCUAAAUACGUGCCAU
rnacentral:rRNA from 1 species